rnacentral:rRNA from 1 species
UACGGAGGGAGCUAGCGUUGUUCGGAAUUACUGGGCGUAAGGCGCGCGUAGGCGGCUUUGUAAGUUAGAGGUGAAAGCCCGGGGCUCAACUCCGGAACUGCCUUUAAGACUGCAUCGCUUGAAUCCGGGAGAGGUGAGUGGAAUUCCGAGUGUAGAGGUGAAAUUCGUAGAUAUUCGGAAGAACACCAGUGGCGAAGGCGGCUCACUGGACCGGUAUUGACGCUGAGGUGCGAAAGCGUGGGGAGCAAACAGG